rnacentral:lncRNA from 1 species
AUCCUUGUCAUCCUCCUUCCUUCCUUCCUUCCUUCCUUCCUUCCUUCCUUCCUUCCUUCCUUCCUUCCUUUCUUCCUUCCUUUCUUCCUUUCUUCCUUUCUUCCUUUCUUCCUUUCUUUCUUCUUUCUUUCAUUCUUCUUUCUUGACUUUCUUUCUUCCUCCCUCCCUUCCUCCUUGCCUUCCUUCCUUCCUUCCUUCCUUCCUUCCUUUCUUUCUUUCUUUCUUUCUUUCUUUCUUUCUUUCUUUCUUUCUUUCUUUCUUUCUUUCUUUCUUUCUUUCUUUCUUUCUUUCUUUCUUUCUUCCUUUCUUUCUUCCUUUCCUUUUUCCUUUCCUUUCCUUUCCUUUCCUUUCCUUUCCUUUCCUUUCCUUUCCUUUCCUUUCCUUUCCUUUCCUUUCCUUUCCUUUCCUUUCCUUUCCUUUCCCUUCCUUCCUUCCUUCCUUCCUUCCUUCCUUCCUUCCUUCCUUCCUUCCUUCCUUCCUUCCUUCCUUCCUUCCUUCCUUCCUUCCUUCCUUCCUUUUUAUCUUAUUAUUUAUCUAUCUUCCAUCUAUAUAGCUUUAUCUGUUAUUUCUAUUGCCACAGAGAAUAAAUAGCAGUGUUAGGGGGCCAUUAGCUCUAGAGUAGUAAAAUCCACACAGAGGAACAAAUUUAUUCAACAUCCCCUCCACCUCUUAGCAAAACCCCUUGUCCCUUUUUCCACUUAACUAAGUGCAAAAGCUCAAAAGUGAGACUUACAAAUAGAAAGGGAUUGGGGAGAGAGUAUUGUUUAUUCCAUAGAAUUGAAAGGUUUAGCUAAAGGAAACUCAGCUAUAUCGUUGACCUACCUGAUUACAAUUAAAUGAAAUUAGACAGUAAUACACUUUAUGAGCUUGGCAUUCUUGAUUCGUACACCAUUAGACUGCUAACCUAAAGGCUAGGAAGACUAGCAAGUAGCAAAAGGAAAAAAAGUCAUGAUCAGUUUCACUUCCAUAGUCUUGGUUGUUGUUAUUGUUGUCAUUGUUCAGUCAUUCAGUCAAUCCAUGGAGUUUUCUUGUCAAAGAUUCUGGAAUGAUUUGCUAUUUCCUUCCCCAGUGGAUUCAGUGGAUCUUUUUCUGUGAGGAAACCAGAGGUUAAGUGACUUGCUAUAACAUAGGAAGAGAAAGAGAUAGUCCACUUUAAGCAGAGAGCAGUCUCUGACAUAGACAGCUUCAGAGAGAGUGGAGGAGGAGCAAGAAGAAAAAACUGAAGAUUCCAGAAGAGAAUGAGAAACUGACAAGUGCAACUGAUCACCUAACUUCACACUUCUUCCAGCUGGGAGUCUGUGGGAAGAAGUGGAUCUCCUAGGCUGCAAAGAAGCUGUCUCUCUCUGGAGAUGAACCCUUGAAUACCUCUCACUCAAGUCUUAAUAACAACAAUCAAAGUCAUCAGUGGAUAUUGUGGACUGGGACUUUGAAGAAAGCCAUCCACAGAGAUCCUUUUUCAAGGAUCUCCCUCUCUAUCUCUCCCUCCCUUUUUUUUGUUCCUGGUCUCCUGUAUUCAAGUUAGUUAGCUUAGGAGUAGGGAUGGAUGAACUGGCAGUGGACAAGAAGAGGGAUCAAGGCUGGGAAAGCCUUGAACCCCUAGACUGGUGAGCCAACUUGCCAUGGGGGACAAGUUGUAGGGCUUCCUGUUUAACCACUUACCUACUUGAUACCUCUUACCAGUCCUUCCGUGUUUGAACCCAAUAAAUUUAUCUGUUACAUUUGAUCUAGGUCUGCG